rnacentral:rRNA from 1 species
CGGUGAAUACGUUCCCGGGCCUUGUACACACCGCCCGUCAAGUCACGAAAAUUGGUAACACCCGAAGCCGGUGGCCUAACCCUUGUGGGGGAGCCGUCGAAGGUGGGACCGGCGAUUGGGACU